rnacentral:rRNA from 1 species
AGUGAACGCUGGCGGUAGGCCUAACACAUGCAAGUCGAACGGCAGCACAGGAGAGCUUGCUCUCUGGGUGGCGAGUGGCGGACGGGUGAGGAAUACAUCGGAAUCUACUUUUUCGUGGGGGAUAACGUAGGGAAACUUACGCUAAUACCGCAUACGACCGACGGGUGAAAGCAGGGGACCUUCGGGCCUUGCGCGAUUGAAUGAGCCGAUGUCGGAUUAGCUAGUUGGCGGGGUAAAGGCCCACCAAGGCGACGAUCCGUAGCUGGUCUGAGAGGAUGAUCAGCCACACUGGAACUGAGACACGGUCCAGACUCCUACGGGAGGCAGCAGUGGGGAAUAUUGGACAAUGGGCGCAAGCCUGAUCCAGCCAUACCGCGUGGGUGAAGAAGGCCUUCGGGUUGUAAAGCCCUUUUGUUGGGAAAGAAAUCCAGCUGGUUAAUACCCGGUUGGGAUGACGGUACCCAAAGAAUAAGCACCGGCUAACUUCGUGCCAGCAGCCGCCGUAA